rnacentral:rRNA from 1 species
GAGCGGACAGAUGGGAGCUUGCUCCCUGAUGUUAGCGGCGGACGGGUGAGUAACACGUGGGUAACCUGCCUGUAAGACUGGGAUAACUCCGGGAAACCGGGGCUAAUACCGGAUGGUUGUCUGAACCGCAUGGUUCAGACAUAAAAGGUGGCUUCGGCUACCACUUACAGAUGGACCCGCGGCGCAUUAGCUAGUUGGUGAGGUAACGGCUCACCAAGGCGACGAUGCGUAGCCGACCUGAGAGGGUGAUCGGCCACACUGGGACUGAGACACGGCCCAGACUCCUACGGGAGGCAGCAGUAGGGAAUCUUCCGCAAUGGACGAAAGUCUGACGGAGCAACGCCGCGUGAGUGAUGAAGGUUUUCGGAUCGUAAAGCUCUGUUGUUAGGGAAGAACAAGUGCCGUUCAAAUAGGGCGGCACCUUGACGGUACCUAACCAGAAAGCCACGGCUAACUACGUGCCAGCAGCCGCGGUAAUACGUAGGUGGCAAGCGUUGUCCGGAAUUAUUGGGCGUAAAGGGCUCGCAGGCGGUUUCUUAAGUCUGAUGUGAAAGCCCCCGGCUCAACCGGGGAGGGUCAUUGGAAACUGGGGAACUUGAGUGCAGAAGAGGAGAGUGGAAUUCCACGUGUAGCGGUGAAAUGCGUAGAGAUGUGGAGGAACACCAGUGGCGAAGGCGACUCUCUGGUCUGUAACUGACGCUGAGGAGCGAAAGCGUGGGGAGCGAACACGAUUAUAUACCCUGGUAGUCCACGCCGUAAACGAUGAGUGCUAACUGUUAGGGGGUUUCCGCCCCUUAGUGCUGCAGCUAACGCAUUAAGCAC